CAGCCGCGGUAAUACGGAGGAUCCAAGCGUUAUCCGGAUUCAUUGGGUUUAAAGGGUGCGUAGGCGGAAUGAUAAGUCAGUGGUGAAAUCUCGCAGCUUAACUGCGAAACUGCCAUUGAUACUGUCAAUCUUGAGUACAUUUGAUGAGGGCGGAAUGUGUCAUGUAGCGGUGAAAUGCUUAGAUAUGACACAGAACACCGAUUGCGAAGGCAGCUCUCAAAACUGUAACUGACGCUGAGGCACGAAAGCGUGGGUAUCAAAACAGGAUUAGAUACCCUGGUAGUCCACGCUGUAAACUAUGAUUACUCGAUGUUUGCGAUACACAGUAAGCGUCUAAGCGAAAGCGAUAAGUAAUCCACCUGGGGAGUACGCUCGCAAGAGUGAAACUCAAAAGGAAUUGACGGGGGCCGCACAAGCGGAGGAGUAUGUGGUUUAAUUCGAUGAUACGCGAGGAACCUUACCU
rnacentral:rRNA from 1 species